rnacentral:rRNA from 1 species
UCUAUACUGUGAAACUGCGAAUGGCUCAUUAAAUCAGUUAUCGUUUAUUUGAUGGUACCUUACUACUUGGAUAACCGUGGUAAUUCUAGAGCUAAUACAUGCAUUAAAGCCCCAACUUCGGGAGGGGUGUAUUUAUUAGAUAAAAAACCAAUGCCCUUCGGGGCUCCUUGGUGAUUCAUAAUAACUAAACGAAUCGCAUGGCCUUGUGCCGGCGAUGGUUCAUUCAAAUUUCUGCCCUAUCAACUUUCGAUGGUUUGGUCUUGGCUAACCAUGGUUUCAACGGGUAACGGGGAAUUAGGGUUCUAUUCCGGAGAGUGAGCCUGAGAAACGGCUAACACAUCCAAGGAAGGCAGCAGGCGCGCAAAUUACCCAAUCCCGAUUCGGGGAGGUAGUGACAAUAAAUACUGAUCCAGGGCUCUUUUGGGUCUUGGAAUUGGAAUGAGUACAAUUUAAAUCUCUUAACGAGGAACAAUUGGAGGGCAAGUCUGGUGCCAGCAGCCGCGGUAAUUCCAGCUCCAAUAGCGUAUAUUAAAGUUGUUGCAGUUAAAAAGCUCGUAGUUGAAUCUUGGGCCUGGUUGGCCGGUCCGCCUCACCGCGUGUACUGGUCCGACCGGGUCUUUCCUUCUGGGGAACCGCAUGCCCUUCACUGGGUGUGUUGGGGAACCAGGACUUUUACUUUGAAAAAAUUAGAGUGUUCAAAGCAGGCCUAUGCUCGAAUACAUUAGCAUGGAAUAAUAGAAUAGGACGUGUGGUUCUAUUUUGUUGGUUUCUAGGACCGCCGUAAUGAUUAAUAGGGACAGUCGGGGGCAUCAGUAUUCAAUCGUUAGAGGUGAAAUUCUUGGAUCGAUUGAAGACUAACUACUGCGAAAGCAUUUGCCAAGGAUGUUUUCAUUAAUCAGUGAACGAAAGUUAGGGGAUCGAAGACGAUCAGAUACCGUCGUAGUCUUAACCAUAAACUAUGCCGACUAGGGAUCGGGCGAUGUUACUUUUUUGACUCGCUCGGCACCUUACGAGAAAUCAAAGUC